GGAAAAAUAGGAAAUGAUUGACAGAGUGAAGGCAUGGCAAUGAAGAGAGGUUGGGGAAGACUUCCUGUAGAAGGAUUACUGAACUGGAUGAGAGGGAAUGCUAUCCUAGAGUUUAAAGCUUCACAGAAGCUUUUAUCAAAGCUUUUGACAAUGUAUUUCAUGACUGGAGAAAGGAUGGGAAGGUGUUAAUUAGACACCUACAACUCAGAUGGAGAGCUGAUUGGAUGAAUGGACUUCAAGAGUAGUCCUUAAUAGUUCAAUUUCAACACGACAGGUAAUCCUCAGGAGACAUGUAAGAUGACCUGGCACUCCCAUCCCUUUGAGGACUUGCC